rnacentral:rRNA from 1 species
GAAACCAACAGGGAUUGCCUUAGUAACGGCGAGUGAAGCGGCAAAAGCUCAAAUUUGAAAUCUGGCACCUUCGGUGUCCGAGUUGUAAUUUGAAGAAGGUAACUUUGGAGUUGGCUCUUGUCUAUGUUCCUUGGAACAGGACGUCACAGAGGGUGAGAAUCCCGUGCGAUGAGAUGCCCAAUUCUAUGUAAAGUGCUUUCGAAGAGUCGAGUUGUUUGGGAAUGCAGCUCUAAGUGGGUGGUAAAUUCCAUCUAAAGCUAAAUAUUGGCGAGAGACCGAUAGCGAACAAGUACAGUGAUGGAAAGAUGAAAAGAACUUUGAAAAGAGAGUGAAAAAGUACGUGAAAUUGUUGAAAGGGAAGGGCUUGAGAUCAGACUUGGUAUUUUGCGAUCCUUUCCUUCUUGGUUGGGUUCCUCGCAGCUUACUGGGCCAGCAUCGGUUUGGAUGGUAGGAUAAUGACUAAGGAAUGUGGCUCUACUUCGGUGGAGUGUUAUAGCCUUGGUUGAUACUGCCUGUCUAGACCGAGGACUGCGUCUUUUGACUAGGAUGUUGGCAUAAUGAUCUUAAG